CUAAAAUGCACAGGUCGUGAGUUCGAUGAGUAGGGCGGGACACGUGACAUCCUGUCUGAAUAUGGGGGGACCAUCCUCCAAGGCUAAAUACUCCUGACUGACCGAUAGUGAACCAGUACCGUGAGGGAAAGGCGAAAAGAACCCCGGCGAGGGGAGUGAAAUAGAACCUGAAACCGUGUACGUACAAGCAGUGGGAGCACCUUCGUGGUGUGACUGCGUACCUUUUGUAUAAUGGGUCAGCGACUUAUAUUUUGUAGCAAGGUUAACCGUAUAGGGGAGCCGUAGGGAAACCGAGUCUUAACUGGGCGAUUAGUUGCAAGGUAUAGACCCGAAACCCGGUGAUCUAGCCAUGGGCAGGUUGAAGGUUGGGUAACACUAACUGGAGGACCGAACCGACUAAUGUUGAAAAAUUAGCGGAUGACUUGUGGCUGGGGGUGAAAGGCCAAUCAAACCGGGAGAUAGCUGGUUCUCCCCGAAAGCUAUUUAGGUAGCGCCUCGUGAACUCAUCUUCGGGGGUAGAGCACUGUUUCGGCUAGGGGGCCAUCCCGGCUUACCAAACCGAUGCAAACUCCGAAUACCGAAGAAUGUUAUCACGGGAGACACACGGCGGGUGCUAACGUCCGUCGUGAAGAGGGAAACAACCCAGACCGCCAGCUAAGGUCCCAAAGUCAUGGUUAAGUGGGAAACGAUGUGGGAAGGCAUAGACAGCCAGGAUGUUGGCUUAGAAGCAGCCAUCAUUUAAAGAAAGCGUAAUAGCUCACUGGUCGAGUCGGCCUGCGCGGAAGAUGUAACGGGGCUAAACCAUGCACCGAAGCUGCGGCAGCGACGCUUAGGCGUUGUUGGGUAGGGGAGCGUUCUGUAAGCCGUUGAAGGUGGCCUGUGAGGGUUGCUGGAGGUAUCAGAAGUGCGAAUGCUGACAUAAGUAACGAUAAAGCGGGUGAAAAGCCCGCUCGCCGGAAGACCAAGGGUUCCUGUCCAACGUUAAUCGGGGCAGGGUGAGUCGACCCCUAAGGCGAGGCUGAAAAGCGUAGUCGAUGGGAAACAGGUUAAUAUUCCUGUACUUGGUGUUACUGCGAAGGGGGGACGGAGAAGGCUAGGCUAGCCGGGCGACGGUUGUCCCGGUUUAAGCGUGUAGGGGGUGUGACCUGGUAAAUCCGGUUGCAUACUAACCCUGAGGCGUGAUGACGAUGCACUACGGUGCAGAAGUAGUUGAUGCCCUGC
rnacentral:rRNA from 1 species